AUGCACGCUGGCGGCGUGCCUCAUACAUGCCCGUCGAGCGAACGGACGAGAAGCUUGCUUCUCUGAUGUUAGCGGCGGACGGGUGAGUAACACGUGGAUAACCUACCUAUAAGACUGGGAUAACUUCGGGAAACCGGAGCUAAUACCGGAUAAUAUUUUGAACCGCAUGGUUCAAAAGUGAAAGACGGUCUUGCUGUCACUUAUAGAUGGAUCCGCGCUGCAUUAGCUAGUUGGUAAGGUAACGGCUUACCAAGGCAACGAUGCAUAGCCGACCUGAGAGGGUGAUCGGCCACACUGGAACUGAGGCACGGUCCAGACUCCUACGGGGGGCAGCAGUAGGGAAUCUUCCGCAAUGGGCGAAAGCCUGACGGAGCAACGCCGCGUGAGUGAUGAAGGUCUUCGGAUCGUAAAACUCUGUUAUUAGGGAAGAACAUAUGUGUAAGUAACUGUGCACAUCUUGACGGUACCUAAUCAGAAAGCCACGGCUAACUACGUG
rnacentral:rRNA from 1 species